GGUGGAAGCUGGCAGAGCUAUGCAGCCUCCACCACGGCCCCGUCGGUCUUCCCGCUGACCUCCAAAUGCGGCACCACGUCCGGCUCCACGGUGUCUCUGGGCUGCCUGGUCUCUGGCUACUUCCCGGAGCCCGUGACUGUGACCUGGAACUCGGGCGCCCUGACCAGCGGGGUGCACACCUUCCCAUCCGUCCUCCGCGCGGGCCUCUACUCCCUGAGCAGCAUGGUGACCGUGCCCUCCAGCUCGUCCAGCCAGACCUUCACCUGCAACGUGGCCCACCCGGCCAGCAACACCAAGGUGGACAAGGCCGUGUCCGAAAUUAGAGAAGUCUGCACCACAGCAGCCCCCUGCACAUGCCCAGCCUGUGAGACCCUGGGAGGGCCCUCGGUCUUCAUCUUCCCCCCGAAACCCAAGGACACCCUCAUGAUCUCCCGGACGCCCGAGGUCACGUGCCUGGUGGUGGACGUGGCCCCGGAAGACCUGGACGUCGAAUUCACCUGGUUCAUGGACAACAAAGAGGUGAAGAAGGAGAAGGUGACGGCGCAGCAGCAGCAGUUCAACAGCACCUACCGUGUGGUCCACUCCCUGCCCAUCGCGCACCAGGACUGGCUGAAGGCCAAGGAGUUCAAGUGCAAGGUCAACAACAAUGCCAUCCCGGCCCCCAUCGAGAGGACCAUCUCCAAGGCCAGAGGGCAGGUCCGGGAGCCGCAGGUGUACGUCCUGAGCCCUCACGCGGACGAGAUGGCCAAGGACAAGGUCAGCGUGACCUGCCUGGUCAAGGACUUCUUCCCGCCGGACAUCAGCGUGGAGUGGCAGAGCAAUGGGCGGCCGGAGCCUGAGACCAAGUACUCCUCGACCCCGCCCCAGAAGGACCAGGAGGGCGCCUUCUUCCUGUACAGCAAGCUCUCCGUGGACAAGGCGCGGUGGCAGCAGGGGGACGCCUUCACGUGCGAGGUUAUGCAUGAGGCCCUGCACAACCACUACACCCAGAAGACCGUCUCCCGGAGCGUGGAGCUGCUCCUGGACGAGAGCUGUGCCGAGGCCCAGGACGGGGAGCUGGACGGGCUGUGGACCACCAUCUCCAUCUUCAUCACCCUCUUCCUGCUCAGCGUGUGCUACAGCGCCACUGUCACACUCUUCAAGGUGAAGUGGAUCUUCUCCUCCGUGGCCGACCUGAAGAGGACCAUUGCCCCGGACUACAGGAACAUGAUCGGACAAGGGGCGUAGCGGCCCUCCCAGCAGAGCCAACUGCCGGUUCACCUGCUCCACCUGCUGCAACGCCUGCUCCUCCGCCCUCUGACCUCGCUGCCCUCUGACCUCUCCACCCUCGGACCCCAGGCCCCUAUGGGCCUGCACCCUGCCCUCUGGCCUCAUGGCCAUCACAGGCUGCAUCCCACCUGGGACCUGCUCCUUUGGAGAACCGAGUGGACAGCAGGUCCUGCUCCAACCUGAGCUGACGGAGGCCCGCCUGCCCUCCAUGCAGCCACUGACGCCGCCCCAGGUCGUGUGGCCACCAAGGCCUCCAGGCGGCGUGUCCCACCCCAGGACAUAGCCUGGGCUGCGUGCGAGUCCAUCCUGCGGGGUGGAGGCCCGGCACCCAGUGUGUGGGCAGGAGCAGGAGACAGGGCUCCUGGGAGGUGCCGAGUCCCCCCAGGGAAGCUCCCCCUGGGCCCUGGUGGUCGCUCAGCCGCCUCCACCAGAGCACAUCCUCGGAGCAGGGCCUGGUGGGGCUGCUACGGGGUCUGGGGGGCAGGAUGGUACCACCCAGGGCAGGUGGGCAUCGGCCCGCAAGCCUCCAGGGGCGGGUCUGGUGACCAGGUCCCAGCAGGUGGGAUCCAGCCUCCGUGGACAGACACGGGAGGUGGAUGUGGAGGUGCAGCGCGCCUGGAGGACUAAGGUGGGAGCCCAGGCCUGAGUCCCGCCCCCUGGCUCUCCCAGGUAGCCCCUGCACCAGGGAGGGGGGCUGAGAGCCGAGAGCACUGGACAGAACGCUGCCUGCCUUGGGGACCGGCAGACGGACAGACGUCCCGAUCCCCAGGGAGCGCCAUCCGUCCCGCCGGGCAGGAGGGAGACGCGGGCUCUGUGAUGCAGGGGACGCGCAGAGAAAUUAUUCCCAGGAAACGCACCUUGUAGCUUGGGCCGCUUUUCAUUUUAUGUUUAAUUUCCUGGAGCCCGUCCAUUGUCUCCACUGGUGUGUGUGUGGUGUGUGUGUGUGUAACGACAAUAAAAGCUCCUUAGACA